UCUAGAAGCUUCGGCAAUGGGCGAAAGCCUGACCGAGCGACGCCGCGUGCAGGACGAAGGCCUUCGGGUUGUAAACUGCUUUCGACUGGGAUGAAUGGUAAGGAGGCUAAUACCCUUUUUAUUUGACAGUACCUGGAGAAGAAGCCCCGGCUAACUCCGUGCCAGCAGCCGCGGUACUACGGAGGGGGCCAGCGUUGUUCGGAUUUAUUGGGCGUAAAGCGCGUGUAGGCGGUGCAGUAAGUCGGAUGUUAAAGACCCGCGGCUCACCCGGGGGAAUGCGUCCGAUACUGCUGUGCUAGAGUGCAGGAGAGGAGAGUGGAAUUCCUGGUGUAGCGGUGAAAUGCGUAGAUAUCAGGAGGAACACCGGUGGCGAAGGCGGCUCUCUGGCCUGUAACUGACGCUGAGACGCGAAAGCGUGGGGAGUGAACG
rnacentral:rRNA from 1 species